GCGUGGAUGAAGAAGGUCUUCGGAUUGUAAAGUCCUUUCGGCGGGGACGAUGAUGACGGUACCCGCAGAAGAAGCCCCGGCUAACUUCGUGCCAGCAGCCGCGGUAAUACGAAGGGGGCUAGCGUUGCUCGGAAUUACUGGGCGUAAAGGGCGCGUAGGCGGAAAUCUCAGUCAGGCGUGAAAGCCCCGGGCUCAACCUGGGAAUUGCGCUUGAGACGGGGUUUCUUGAGGGCGAGAGAGGGUGGUGGAAUUCCCAGUGUAGAGGUGAAAUUCGU
rnacentral:rRNA from 1 species